rnacentral:rRNA from 1 species
AUUGAACGCUGGCGGCAUGCCUUACACAUGCAAGUCGAACGGCAGCGGGGACUUCGGUCCGCCGGCGAGUGGCGAACGGGUGAGUAAUGUAUCGGAACGUACCUUUCAGUGGGGGAUAACGUAGCGAAAGUUACGCUAAUACCGCAUAUUCUGUGAGCAGGAAAGCAGGGGAUCGCAAGACCUUGCGCUGAUUGAGCGGCCGAUAUCAGAUUAGCUAGUUGGUGAGGUAAAGGCUCACCAAGGCGACGAUCUGUAGCGGGUCUGAGAGGAUGAUCCGCCACACUGGAACUGAGACACGGUCCAGACUCCUACGGGAGGCAGCAGUGGGGAAUUUUGGACAAUGGGGGCAACCCUGAUCCAGCCAUGCCGCGUGAGUGAAGAAGGCCUUCGGGUUGUAAAGCUCUUUCGGCCGGGAAGAAAUCGCAUGGGUUAAUACCCUGUGCGGAUGACGGUACCGGCAUAAGAAGCACCGGCUAACUACGUGCCAGCCGCCGCCGUAAUAC